AGGAAGUGAGGACCAGCAGGGAUGACAGUUUUGGCUCAACACCCAUGCUUUCAAGGCAGCCAGCUCAGGGAACUUCGGGAUCAAUAGCUGCGCCUCUGCCAAGGGCUCCGCCCAGCCCGUCCAUCAGCAGCAAGCUCUGUGCAGCGGAAGGAGUGUUUCUGAGCUUUCUUUCCCUUGGCUCUUCGUGUCAGAGCCUGUCUCGUGCUCGGCUUCAAACACAGUGUCCUUCGUGGGACAAGUCACAACCCUCCGCCGGGCUGCUUCGUGUGCUAGGCUGUGUUAGGACCCACAGAUUUUGAAUUUGCCAUGUUCAUGCACCCGUUUGUGUCUUUCUCCAUCUGUAUCAGUCAUUGAAAGACCUUCCAAGGAAUUAACAAGACGACUCUUGCUGAACCUUGAACAAGGGAUUUCAGAUUUGCCCUGGUGGAUUUCAGAUCUGCCGCGGCAGGCAGAACCAGCGGUAUCUAUUUGGUUUCUCUGAUGGGCCUGUAACCUUUUCCUCGAUCUAAGAAGGGGGGAAAGCAAGCGCCCAGAUUGGGGUGAAGGAUUGGACUGUGAGUGGGGUGUGGGGUGCCUUUCUCUGGCUCCACGCAUAGUGUUGGAGCCAUUUGAAGAGAGCAAAGCUGGUCAUGUUUCUGUGAAGUCAGCUGCGAGUCUCUGGUAUGACUGUAGAAUGGUGGUUGGACAAGAGACACCCAAACACGCGGGGCUGUCCCUCGGGUGCCCCGUAGUUGUAUAACGCAGAACUGAAGAGAUGGCUUUUCCUAUGGCCGAGGAAAGCAGCCCCGGGGAACCUGGCCGCUUUGAGAAUAGCAGCCUGAGAUGCAGCAGCCUUCAUCUGGCCAGGGACCUGGUGGAGCGUCACAGCCGACCAUAACACUAACCGCUUAAGAUCACUUCUAUUUGGAAGAAUGCAUUGGGUCCAGUGUGCUGACAGCAUCGAAUAGGAUUGGAUUUAUUUGUCAGCAAAAUAAUGUGACCAUUGCUCAUGUCACACCACCAAGUGAUGAUCCCCGAGUUCCUUUUGAGAAACCUAGCACAAGCUUCUUGUCCUUUUGGCUAAGAAACCCAGGAAUGUGGACAAGAGAGGAGACACUGGUCCUGCUUCCCAGGUUUCCCUGAUGAACUCCACAUGCUAAUCUGCCCUGGGCCUCACACAGGGAGCAACUUAUAGCCGGCUAAAUCGAUAAGCAGGAGAGGUCUUCCUCCGAAGAAGGAAAUCACACUUUGGCUUUUACUCCCUCAAGGUACCAUGCUGUGACUGAUACCACUGGGCUUCUGCACUUGAAGACAUUGACAUCAGUUGAGACUGUUCAUGUUUUCAACACUUCAAAUAGAUCCAAUUAUCCAGGCUUGAUUGGAGCUGGGAACCUGUGACUGUGAUGUAAGAAGCUGGCAGAGCGGAGAGUUUACAAUGAUUCUCCUUCAGACCCAAGCUGAACAGAAUUCUAUUGGCUAGACGGCCAUACUUUCAUUGUCCAUUCAUCUACUGAUAGACAAGUAGGCGAUUUCCUUUUCCUGGCUGUUGAGGAUACAGCAGUGAAGAACAUGAUGAGCAGGUAUCGGCCUCCGCUGCAGGAUAUCGAUCAUCUGAGUAUAUGCCCAGGAGUGGUAUAGCUGUACCGUAGGACAGACCUACUUACAGCUUUUUGAGGAACCUAAACACUGAUUUCCAUAAGUGACUGCACCAGCUUGCACUCCCACUAAUAGUGAACAAGUGUUCCUCUUUUCAAAACCCUCUCCAGCAUUUGCUAUAUUUAUUUAGAUUCUUUAACUCAUUAAACUGAAUGAAUUCAUUCAUAUAGAGCAAGUCUCACUGGCAAAGUCGCAUCACUGGCAUGGUUCUUAAGACCACACGACAAGUAGAGCCCACAGACAGAACAGUACUAUGGGGACCGUCGCUGACCUCCAUCUUAACUCAUUGAGAAGUGUAAAACAAAAGGAGAAAAGGAAGUAAGAUAGCCAGAGCUGCUUCUGGUCCCUGAGGCUGAAGCACUGAGCGCAGGAGAAUCCGCGGGGCUGCUCUUUCCAUAGACUGUGUGACGACCACUCUUUCUUACUUGUUUGUUUUUGAUUUUGUUUUGUUUUUCGAGACAGGAUCUCUCCGUAGUUUUUGGAGCCUGUCCUGGAACUCACUCUGUAGAUCAGGCUGGUCUCGAACUCACAGAGAGCCACCUGCCUCUGCCUCCUGAGUGCUGGUAUACUCCACCAGCACAUUAAAGGUGUACGCCACCCGUGCCUGACUACGCCACCCGUGCCUGGUUACACCACCACCGCCUGGCAGACGACUGCUCUCUUUCGUCAGUUCUUCUAUGUGUGGAAACAACUACAGGACAAGCGCUGGGCACUCCUAUAAGGAAUUUUCUUGAUCAGAUUAUUCAAAGUGGGAAGACCCACCCUAGUGUGGGCUGCACCUUCUUCCUGUGGCAGCUGAGGCAGGAGGUGGAAGACGAAGGGGGUUUUAGCCCAUCUUUCUGUCUCCUUGCCUGGUUGAUGAACUCUCCCUGGCCAGCUCACCAAACAUGUUUGCUUCUACUGCUACAUUCCUUUGUCCAGUGUUUACAACCCAACUUUGAGCUUCAGUGUGGACGGAAGACCAGUGGUUUUCCAGGAACCUUCUAGGCCUUCAGCACCGGAUUUGACUGCUGAGACAUUGAGCCCUGUGGACAAACAUCUACAGGAUUCUGGGCCUCUCCAUUGUGAGACAGUCAUUGUUUGAUUACCUGGACCAUACCGUGUAAGCUGGGCUAAGGACUCCUCUUUCAGUAGAUAUUCAUUCUAUCGGUUCUGCUCCCUCAGAGGAACAUGACUGAUACAGACUGCGUCUCUAGCUGCUAAUUCAAGGAAUCAAGCAACCAAGUGGAUUGAAUUCUCAUUCUUCUCACACAAGAGGAAUAGGAGGGGUCCAGUAUGAAGAAAACUGUCUUUGACUUGGUGGCUCUGCUCCUCUGUGUAUAGCGUGGGUGUUUGGCUGCUCAAAUUGGCUCCUCGUUCCAUAUCUUGUCAUGGGCAUGUGGGCCAGAGCUAAGCAUCAGUCAUGUUUCCUGACUGCCACCUAUGUGCCAGCUCUCUGCUGUUUGCUUCGUUCGCCUUUGUCUGCACAGCCCUUUAAUUCAGCCCAACACAGGUCUUUACAACGGGGCCGCCAUUGUUACUGCUUAGGAUUGAGUGAUGAUGGCCUUGCUGUCUGCUCAGUGGCAGCCUAAAGGUCUCACAGUAAGCGCAUGCCUUACUCUGAUACUGGAUUAUGUUCUUUUUUAUUGUCUUUCUAAACAUUGGUCUCACUUUGUAACCCAGGCUGACUUUGAACUUUCAGUCAUCUUCCUUUACCUGUGCAUUGUUGGAAUUACAACGUGUGCCACCACCCCUGGAUCUGGAACUGAAUUACGUCGCAAGGAAUCUGAGCUUACUUACACUUAUAUCCUCUUGAUUUUCUGGGUUUUUUCUUUUCUUCUUCUCUUCCUUCUUUCUAAGCAGUGUUUCUUCAUCUUGUAGUCCUGGCUGCCCCGGAACUCCCUCUGUAGACCA